rnacentral:lncRNA from 1 species
GCGGACGCUCUCGGGUUUACCUGCUUCCUGUUAACAGAUUGUGGGCUCCCAGGGCAUAUGUCUGCACGCUGAGGCCGAGGCGGAGAAGGGGCUUCCUGAGCGUCCCAGUACACUGACAGAGACACUUGGAUUGGACUUAAUCUUAAACCUCUGGAGUUCAAGACCUUUUAAAAAGGGCUAAAUAAACAAUCUCUACAUGUAAAAGGCCACUGACUCCUACUUCCUCUGUAUAGAGCAACUGUUGAACUCAGCUGCCUGUAGGGCGUGAUUCUCAGUCACCAGACUCAGCUUGGAGAUCUUACAAUGAUGGCAAUCAGGAGACACUGAACGGAGAUGCUACAUAUUCCUCUCUUGCAGCAAAAGGUUUUAGAAGCGUUCGACCAAACCUACAAGAUAAAAGAUCACCAACUCAGGCACCCCCUCCACCAGAAAGAAAAGAGAGCUUUCAUAGCUCUUUGAUAACCAGUCACACAAAGGGUGUCAUUUUAGACCAGUUAGUAACUAACACACAAAUUCCCUCCAGUACAGAGUACUUUGCUAACAAAAAACCUCUUCAGGGAACUAUGUAUUCCAAUGAAGAUUCGAGACAGACAAUUGUAUAUUCUGAAGAAUCUAACACAACCAUGUCAU